rnacentral:pre_miRNA from 1 species
GUUUACCUGUGAGUGAGUGGUGUUCAGCACCAAGGACAGGUGUUUUUGUGUGUGGAUUGUAUUAAGCACCAAGGACAGGUAUGUUUACCU